rnacentral:rRNA from 1 species
GACGAACCGUCCAAACGUUAUUCGGAUUUACUGGGCUUAAAGGGUGCGUAGGCGGCCCGGAAAGUUGGGUGUGAAAGCCCUCGGCUUAACCGAGGAAUUGCGCCCAAAACUACCGGGCUUGAGGGAGAUAGAGGUGGGCGGAACUUAGGGUGGAGCGGUGAAAUGCGUUGAUAUCCUAAGGAACACCCGUGGCGAAAGCGGCUCACUGGGUCUCUUCUGACGCUGAGGCACGAAAGCCAGGGGAGCGAACGGG